rnacentral:rRNA from 1 species
AUACGGAGGGUGCAAGCGUUAUUCGGAAUCACUGGGCGUAAAGGACGCGUAGGCGGGUUGGCAAGUCAGAUGUGAAAUCCUACAGCUUAACUGUAGAACUGCAUUUGAAACUGCUAACCUAGAGUAUGGGAGGGGGAGAUGGAAUUAGUGGUGUAGGGGUAAAAUCCGUAGAUAUCACUAGGAAUAUCGAAAGCGAAGGCGAUCUCCUGGAACAUAACUGACGCUAAGGCGUGAAAGCGUGGGGAGCAAACAGGAUUAGAAACCCUAGUAGUCC